CCUACGGGAGGCAGCAGUGGGGAAUCUUCCGCAAUGGGCGAAAGCCUGACGGAGCAACGCCGCGUGAGUGAUGACGGCCUUCGGGUUGUAAAACUCUGUGAUCCGGGACGAAAAGGCAGAGUGCGACGAACAAACUGCAUUGACGGUACCGGAAAAGCAAGCCACGGCUAACUACGUGCCAGCAGCCGCGGUAAUACGUAGGUGGCAAGCGGUUUCCGGAAUUAUUGGGCGUAAAGCGAGCGCAGGCGGCUUGCCAAGUCCCUCGUAAAAGGGCGGGGCUUAACCCCGUGAUGGGAAGGAAACUGGGUAGCUGGAGUAUCGGAGAGGAAAGUGGAAUUCCUAGUGGAGCGGUGAAAUGCGUAGAGAUUAGGAGGAACACCGGUGGCGAAGGCGACUUUCUGGACGAAAACUGACGCUGAGGCGCGAAAGCGUGGGGAGCAAACAGGAUUAGAUACCCUUGUAGUC
rnacentral:rRNA from 1 species